rnacentral:rRNA from 1 species
GGGUUGUGAGGUUAAGCGACCAAGCGUACACGGUGGAUGCCCUGGCAGUCAGAGGCGAUGAAGGACGUGCUAAUCUGCGAUAAGCGCCGGUAAGGUGAUAUGAACCGUUAUAACCGGCGAUUUCCGAAUGGGGAAACCCAGUGUGACUCGUCACACUAUCAUUAACUGAAUCCAUAGGUUAAUGAGGCGAACCGGGGGAACUGAAACAUCUAAGUACCCCGAGGAAAAGAAAUCAACCGAGAUUCCCCCAGUAGCGGCGAGCGAACGGGGAGGAGCCCAGAGCCUGAAUCAGCAUGUGUGUUAGUGGAAGCGUCUGGAAAGGCGCGCGAUACAGGGUGACAGCCCCGUACACAAAAGCGCAUGUGCUGUGAGCUCGAUGAGUAGGGCGGGACACGUGGUAUCCUGUCUGAAUAUGGGGGGACCAUCCUCCAAGGCUAAAUACUCCUGACUGACCGAUAGUGAACCAGUACCGUGAGGGAAAGGCGAAAAGAACCCCGGCGAGGGGAGUGAAAAAGAACCUGAAACCGUGUACGUACAAGCAGUGGGAGCCCCACCACUAAGCCAGUGGUGAACUCCACAUACGCAUCCUUUGCUGAGGAUACGGUUAACGGAGCGAAAGCGACGUUCAACCGCAAAAGAAGCAGAGGGGGCUUAGUGGUGGGGUGACUGCGUACCUUUUGUAUAAUGGGUCAGCGACUUAUAUUCUGUAGCAAGGUUAACCGUAUAGGGGAGCCGCAGGGAAACCGAGUCUUAACCGGGCGUUAAGUUGCAGGGUAUAGACCCGAAACCCGGUGAUCUAGCCAUGGGCAGGUUGAAGGUUGGGUAACACUAACUGGAGGACCGAACCGACUAAUGUUGAAAAAUUAGC